rnacentral:rRNA from 1 species
UGGGGAAUAUUGGACAAUGGGCGAAAGCCUGAUCCAGCCAUGCCGCGUGUGUGAAGAAGGUCUUCGGAUUGUAAAGCACUUUAAGUUGGGAGGAAGGGCAUUAACCUAAUACGUUAGUGUUUUGACGUUACCGACAGAAUAAGCACCGGCUAACUCUGUGCCAGCAGCCGCGGUAAUACAGAGGGUGCAAGCGUUAAUCGGAAUUACUGGGCGUAAAGCGCGCGUAGGUGGUUUGUUAAGUUGGAUGUGAAAGCCCCGGGCUCAACCUGGGAACUGCAUCCAAAACUGGCAAGCUAGAGUACGGUAGAGGGUGGUGGAAUUUCCUGUGUAGCGGUGAAACGCGUAGAUAUAGGAAGGAACACCAGUGGCGAAGGCGACCACCUGGACUGAUACUGACACUGAGGUGCGAAAGCGUGGGGAGCAAACA